rnacentral:rRNA from 1 species
ACGUAGUUAAUUGGUAGAGGAGCAUUCUUAAAGGGAAGAAGCAGUACCGGAAGGAGCUGUGGACUUUUAAGAAGAGAGAAUGCCGGAAUGAGUAGCGAGAGGAAGGUGAGAAUCCUUCCGGCCGAAUACCCAAGGUUUCCAGAGUAAAGCUGAUCUGCUCUGGGUAAGUCGGGGCCUAAGGUGAGGUCGAAAGACGUAGCCGAUGGACAACAGGUUGAAAUUCCUGUACUGCAGUAUAACAGAACUGUGGGGACGCAGAGGGAGAGCACUAGCGGGAAUGGAAUCCCGCGGCAAGCGAGGUAGGAGCCGCGUUGGCAAAUCCGCGUGACAAUCCGAAGACGUGAUGCAUACCGAACUGAAGUAGGGAAAUGUGUGAGCCAGCUGCCAAGAAAAGCCGCUAUUGUUUGUACUGUACCCGUACCGUAAACCGACACAGGUAGGUGAGGAGAGAAUCCUAAGGCCGACGGGGGAAGCAUUGUUAAGGAACUCGGCAAAAUGACUCCGUAACUUCGGGAGAAGGAGUGCCAGUGAGAGCUGGCCGCAGAGAAUUGGCCCAAGCAACUGUAUAGCAAAAACACAGGUCUAUGCAAAACCGUAAGGUGAAGUAUAUGGGCUGACGCCUGCCCGGUGCUGGAAGGUUAAGGGGAGAGGUUAGCGCAAGCGAAGCUUUGAACUUAAGCCCCAGUGAACGGCGGCCGUAACCAUAACGGUCCUAAGGUAGCGAAAUUCCUUGUCGGGUAAGUUCCGACCCGCACGAAAGGCGUAAUGAUUUGGGCACUGUCUCAACAAUGCACCCGGUGAAAUUGAAAUACCAGUGAAGAUGCUGGUUACCUGCGCCAGGACGGAAAGACCCCAUGGAGCUUUACUCCAGCUUGAUACUGGGAUUCGAUAUUGUAUGUACAGGAUAGGUGGGAGGCGAAGAAGCAUUGACGCCAGUUGAUGCGGAGCCGCUGUUGGGAUACCACCCUUGCAGUAUUGGAUUUCUAACCAGCAGCCGUGACCCGGCUGGGGGACAAUGUCAGGUGGGGAGUUUGACUGGGGCGGUCGCCUCCGAAAGGGUAUCGGAGGCGCUCAAAGGUUCCCUCAGAAUGGUUGGAAACCAUUCGAAGAGUGCAAAGGCAGAAGGGAGCUUGACUGCGACACCGACGGGUGGAGCAGGUACGAAAGUAGGACUUAGUGAUCCGGUGGUAUAAAGUGGGAUUGCCAUCGCUCAACGGAUAAAAGCUACCCUGGGAUAACAGGCUUAUCACUCCCAAGAGUUCACAUCGACGGAGUGGUUUGGCACCUCGAUGUCGGCUCAUCGCAUCCUGGGGCUGAAGUAGGUCCCAAGGGUUGGGCUGUUCGCCCAUUAAAGCGGUACGCGAGCUGGGUUCAGAACGUCGUGAGACAGUUCGGUCCCUAUCCGGCGUGGGCGUAGGAUAUUUGAGAGGAGCUGGCCUUAGUACGAGAGGACCGGGCUGGACUGACCGCUGGUGUAUCUGUUGUUCCGCCAGGAGCAUGGCAGAGUAGCCAAGUCAGGAAGGGAUAAACGCUGAAGGCAUCUAAGCGUGAAGCCCCCCUCAAGAUGAGAUAUCCCAACGCAAGUUGUAAGACCCCUUGAAGACGACAAGGUAGAUAGGGCAGAGGUGGAAGUGCAGUAAUGCAUGGAGCUGACUGUUACUAAUCGGUCGAGGGCAUAACC